GUAGCCAAGUGGAUUAAGGCAAUGGAUUGUGAAUCCAUCAUUCGCGGGUUCAAUUCCCGUC
rnacentral:tRNA from 1 species